CUGACUGAGCCGCCCAGGCGCCCCUGGGGCAACAGAGUUUUAAAUAAACCAGCCUGAUUCUUUCCCAACAAUCUUCCCAUUCCUGCUUUUUUUUUCCCCCCUGUGUAUCUCUGAUUUCUUAACCAUCAUGUUUUUUAAACCUCCUUCAAUCGCCCUGAGACCUCAGCCUUUCAAUUUUCCUCUCUGCAUGCCCAAUGCUAAUCCUUUCAUCAUCAUUAUUGCCUCCCAGAUGUCCUGAGGCAACAACCUUCAUUAGAAGAUGACGUCAUAGCCUUCUCUUUGCGGCCUUUUGCCCCAGGACCCUCCCCGGUCUUGCCAAAGUUAUAUUAAUUCUGUGGUCAUGGUUGUGCAUGGAGGUGUGCAUGGUGCGCGUCACGUGCACUGGAGAGAUGGUCACCAAAAUGUCACCAGGGGCCACCUCUGAGAUUUGAGGUGAUUUUCACUCAGUUUUUUAAGCUUUUCUGUAUGGCUUCAACUUGCUAAUUUAACUGAGAAUUGCAUCAGAUACAUACUGCUAUAGUAAUGCUGCCCAUGGGACAAUGGUUGGCCAGGUGACUCUGCUGGCCUUGGCUGGGCUCUUGCAUGUCUGGGCAUGGCUGGCUGUUGGCCAAUCUAGACUGGUCACGGCUUGACAGAUGAAGCAACUCUACUCCACAUUAUCUCUUAUCCUGUGCAUGGGCCCAGCCUUGAGGCAUCCUCGUGGCAAGGGCAGAAAUACAAAUAAAUCCAAUCUUGGAAGCAAACCAUGCUUCUGCACCCCCCUCCCCACCCCCCCGCCAUCACAUCUGCUAACAUCCUAUUGGCCAGAACGAGUCACAUGGUGGAGCUUGGAGUCCAAGUCAGAGGCACCGGUGAGUUACACGUCAGGGAGGGUGUCUAGGGAGGGUUAAGAGAGACCAUCAUUGCAACUGCCUACAACACAUGUUCUGUCUUUGUAUAUUCAGAUGCAGUAAGCUGGUUUCACGCAAGAUGGCUGCCAGGGCUCCAGCCCCACAUCCUCCAGGUGGCACAGGCUAAGCUGUCUCCUGUGGCCAGAGAAUGUCCUUGGGUCGAGUCACUGGUGCUUGCAUCCAGAAGCUGGACUGGAAAUCAGUGAAGUAAGGAGUCUAUAGUUCUUCAACCCCAUGUACAUUCCUCCCAGAUGACAGAUCAUAACCAUUGCAACCAACAAAGUGGGUACGUAAUGUCUGUUGGGCUCCUGGGAGAUG